AUUGAACGCUGGCGGCAUGCUUUACACAUGCAAGUCGAACGGUAACAGGCCGCAAGGUGCUGACGAGUGGCGAACGGGUGAGUAACGCAUCGGAACGUGCCCAGUCGUGGGGGAUAACGCAGCGAAAGCUGUGCUAAUACCGCAUACGAUCUAUGGAUGAAAGCGGGGGACCGUAAGGCCUCGCGAGAUUGGAGCGGCCGAUGUCAGAUUAGGUAGUUGGUGGGGUAAAGGCCUACCAAGCCAACGAUCUGUAGCUGGUCUGAGAGGACGACCAGCCACACUGGGACUGAGACACGGCCCAGACUCCUACGGGAGGCAGCAGUGGGGAAUUUUGGACAAUGGGCGCAAGCCUGAUCCAGCAAUGCCGCGUGCAGGAAGAAGGCCUUCGGGUUGUAAACUGCUUUUGUACGGAACGAAACGGUCUGGGUUAAUACCCUGGACUAAUGACGGUACCGUAAGAAUAAGCACCGGCUAACUACGUGCCAGCAGCCGCCGUAAAAC
rnacentral:rRNA from 1 species